AGUGAACGCUGGCGGCAGGCCUAAUACAUGCAAGUCGAACGGCAGCACGGUGGAGCUUGCUCCAUGGGUGGCGAGUGGCGGACGGGUGAGGAAUACAUGGGAAUCUGCCCAGUCGUGGGGGAUAACGUAGGGAAACUUACGCUAAUACCGCAUGCGCCCUAUGGGGGAAAGCCGGGGACCUUCGGGCCUGGCGCGAUUGGAUGAGCCCAUGUGCGAUUAGCUAGUUGGCGGGGUAAAGGCCCACCAAGGCGACGAUCGCUAGCUGGUCUGAGAGGAUGAUCAGCCACACUGGGACUGAGACACGGCCCAGACUCCUACGGGAGGCAGCAGUAGGGAAUAUUGGACAAUGGGGGCAACCCUGAUCCAGCCAUGCCGCGUGAGUGAAGAAGGCCUUCGGGUUGUAAAGCUCUUUUGUCCGGAAAGAAAAGCUACGGGUUAAUACCCCGGAG
rnacentral:rRNA from 1 species